GAUGAACGCUAGCGGCAGGCUUAACACAUGCAAGUCGAGGGGUAUAGGUUUUCGGACCUAGAGACCGGCGCACGGGUGCGUAACGCGUAUGCAAUCUACCUUUCACAGAGGGAGAGCCCAGAGAAAUUUGGAUUAAUACCUCAUAGUAUAGCAGUUUCGCAUGAAACCACUAUUAAAGUUCCAACGGUGAAAGAUGAGCAUGCGUCCCAUUAGCUAGUUGGUAAGGUAACGGCUUACCAUGGCUACGAUGGGUAGGGGUCCUGAGAGGGAGAUCCCCCACACUGGUACUGAGACACGGACCAGACUCCUACGGGAGGCAGCAGUGAGGAAUAUUGGUCAAUGGACGCAAGUCUGAACCAGCCAUGCCGCGUGCAGGAUGACGGUCCUAUGGAUUGUAAACUGCUUUUGUACGAGAAGAAACAACAUUACGUGUAAUGUCUUGACGGUAUCGUAAGAAUAAGGAUCGGCUAACUCCGUGCCAGCAGCCGCAGUAAAAC
rnacentral:rRNA from 1 species